rnacentral:rRNA from 1 species
GGCNGCUUACCAUGCAAGUCGAACGAUGAAGCCCAGCUUGCUGGGUGGAUUAGUGGCGAACGGGUGAGUAACACGUGAGUAACCUGCCCUUAACUCUGGGAUAAGCCUGGGAAACUGGGUCUAAUACCGGAUAGGAGCGUCCACCGCAUGGUGGGUGUUGGAAAGAUUUAUCGGUUUUGGAUGGACUCGCGGCCUAUCAGCUUGUUGGUGAGGUAAUGGCUCACCAAGGCGACGACGGGUAGCCGGCCUGAGAGGGUGACCGGCCACACUGGGACUGAGACACGGCCCAGACUCCUACGGGAGGCAGCAGUGGGGAAUAUUGCACAAUGGGCGAAAGCCUGAUGCAGCGACGCCGCGUGAGGGAUGACGGCCUUCGGGUUGUAAACCUCUUUCAGUAGGGAAGAAGCGAAAGUGACGGUACCUGCAGAAGAAGCACCGGCUAACUACGUGCCAGCAGCCGCGGUAAUACGUAGGGUGCGAGCGUUAUCCGGGAAUUAUUGGGCGUAAAGAGCUCGUAGGCGGUUUGUCGCGUCUGUCGUGAAAGUCCGGGGCUUAACCCGGGAUCUGCGGUGGGUACGGGCAGACUAGAGUGCAGUAGGGGAGACUGGAAUUCCUGGUGUAGCGGUGGAAUGCGCAGAUAUCAGGAGGAACACCGAUGGCGAAGGCAGGUCUCUGGGCUGUAACUGACGCUGAGGAGCGAAAGCAUGGGGAGCGAACAGGAUUAGAUACCCUGGUAGUCCAUGCCGUAAACGUUGGGCACUAGGUGUGGGGACCAUUCCACGGUUUCCGCGCCGCAGCUAACGCAUUAAGUGCCCCGCCUGGGGAGUACGGCCGCAAGGCUAAAACUCAAAGGAAUUGACGGGGGCCCGCACAAGCGGCGGAGCAUGCGGAUUAAUUCGAUGCAACGCGAAGAACCUUACCAAGGCUUGACAUGUUCUCGAUCGCCGUAGAGAUACGGUUUCCCCUUUGGGGYGGGUUCACAGGUGGUGCAUGGUUGUCGUCAGCUCGUGUCGUGAGAUGUUGGGUUAAGUCCCGCAACGAGCGCAACCCUCGUUCCAUGUUGCCAGCACGUANUGGUGGGGACUCAUGGGAGACUGCCGGGGUCAACUCGGAGGAAGGUGAGGACGACGUCAAAUCAUCAUGCCCCUUAUGUCUUGGGCUUCACGCAUGCUACAAUGGCCGGUACAAUGGGUUGCGAUACUGUGAGGUGGAGCUAAUCCCAAAAAGCCGGUCUCAGUUCGGAUUGGGGUCUGCAACUCGACCCCAUGAAGUCGGAGUCGCUAGUAAUCGCAGAUCAGCAACGCUGCGGUGAAUACGUUCCCGGGCCUUGUACACACCGCCCGUCAAGUCACGAAAGUUGGUAACACCCGAAGCCGGUGGCCUAACCCUUGUGGGGGGAGCCGUCGAAGGG